AACACAAAGAGACAGAGAGACAAAAUAUGGCACAAACUGUGGGACUGUGACAGAAUGGAUCUAUUUAAUCCGAGGCAGGUUUGUUUGUUCAGACAGCGAGCAGCACAGCCGGGGUGGAGCUGACAGCUGCAGUUUAAUUUCCCCACCAGGCAGAUUGGGCCUGUUGAAAUAAGCCUUUAGAAAAGCAUUCUCAUCUCCACAGGAUAUGCACCGAAAAUAUUAGCUCAGUGAACAAGGCAUCAGCACAGCAACUCCGGCGAGCCUCAAGUCUCCUCUCUCUGUGAAAUGCAUCUCGAUUGAUUUCUGGGUCACAGCUGGAGGACGGAGGAACAAGGAGACGAAAUGAGAGAGAUGAGAGGAGCCCCGGGUAAAUCAAAGAUUUACUUGCCAGGCCUGUUUGAAAUGGCUGGAAGAGGCUUGGUUGCACAGAUGUGGCUCUGUUGCCUUGUUUUACCAGGACAUUAUGCAUUAAACAUAGAAAAUCACAACAUGACUUCUUACUUAUGACCAGAG